rnacentral:lncRNA from 1 species
GAUCUCGGCGACGAGAAAGGGGACGGCUCGUCGCAGCCCCCACGGUGGCAGGUGGCAGGGGAGAACGGGGAGUUUUUGUCGGUGGAGCGACAUCGAUCUCGUCAGGAACGAAAUCUUAAGCUACUAUUCUGCAUGUCAUCUAUUUUCUUCCAUGACUUGUUAAGUAAAACAGACAUAUUAUUGUCUAAUGAUGUUCUGAGACAAGAAACUAACACUGCAGCUUUAAGUGUAGAGAAUGAGGCAAAGCAACUCUAUAUCACUAUAUGUGACUGCUCACAAGAUUGUAAAGAUGGACCCACAGGAGAAGAACUCACAGAGCACAUCAUUUGGUGCAAGGUUUGCAAGAAUAUAUUUAAGAUGACUGGGACACUACCACGCUGGGUUUCCAAUGGUAUCAAAGAUGAUGACAUGGUGCCGAAGCAAAAUAUGGUGUUCAAAGACAAUGACAGUGUAUAUGAUUUCUAUGAGAAAUAUGCUUACCAUGCUGGGUUUGACGUAAGGAAGAGCAGAACUAAGAAGACUAUAAGAGAAAUAUGUUGCUCCAGGGAGGGACAUCAUAAAUUUCAUAAAGGCGAUGAAUCUGAACGUGAGCGAAACCAUAGGACAAAGAAAACUGGUUGCAAGGCAUACAUGAAGGUGAAAAAUGUGAUGGUUGAUGGUGAGGUGUCGUCUGUUUGUACGAUGUUGUUGUGCUUGAGCAUAACCACCCACUCACACCCUCUCUAGCAUCGGUAAA